rnacentral:rRNA from 1 species
AGGGCGAGCAGUUGGCUGACGCAGACCCGAAACCAAGUGACCUACCCAUGACCAGGUUGAAGGCGCGGUAAAACGCGCUGGAGGACCGAACCCACGUAAGUUGAAAAUUGCGGGGAUGAGUUGUGGGUAGCGGUGAAAUUCCAAACGAACUUGGAGAUAGCUGGUUCUCUCCGAAAUAGCUUUAGGGCUAGCCUCGCAAAGAGGAUGCUGGAGGUAGAGCUCUGUUUGGACUAGGGGCCCGUCAAGGGUUACUGAAUUCAGAUAAACUGCGAAUUCCAGACAUUUAUGUGCGGGAGUCAGACUGCGAGUGAUAAGAUCCGUAGUCGAAAGGGAAACAGCCCAGAUCACCAGUUAAGGUCCCAAAAUUCAUGCUAAGUGGAAAAGGAUGUGGAGUUGCGCAGACAACUAGGACGUUGGCUCAGAAGCAGCCAUCAUUCAAAGAGUGCGUAAUAGCUCACUAGUCGAGUGACGCCGCGCCGAAAAUUUACCGGGGCUAAGCAUGAUACCGAAACUGUGGAUGUGCGUUUAUGCACGUGGUAGGAGAGCGUUCUAGCGGCGGUGAAGCAUGACCGAGAGGACAUGUGGAGCUUCUAGAAGUGAGAAUGCCGGUAUGAGUAACGAAAGACAGGUGAGAAUCCUGUCCGCCGCAAGACUAAGGUUUCCUGGGGCAGGCUCGUCCGCCCAGGGUAAGUCGGGACCUAAGGCGAGGCCGAGAGGCGUAGUCGAUGGACAACAGGUUGAAAUUCCUGUACUGCACCGAAUCGUUAUGAGCGAUGGAGGGACGCAGGAGGCUAGCAGCGCGUGGUGCUGGAUACCACGUUCAAGCGUCAAGUCUGAGAGCGAGUCAAAUGCUUGCUCUCAUAAGGACAAGGCGUGAUGAGGAGCGAAAUUAAAGUAGCGAAGGCUGCGACGUCACACUGCCGAGAAAAGCUUCUAGCCAGAGACGGUGCACCCGUACCGCAAACCGACACAGGUAGUCGAGGAGAGUAUCCUCAGGUGAGCGAGAGAACUCUCGUUAAGGAACUCGGCAAAAUGGCCCCGUAACUUCGGGAGAAGGGGCGCUGGUCGCAAGAUCAGCCGCAGUGAAAAGGCCCAAGCAACUGUUUAUCAAAAACACAGGCAUCUGCAAAAUCGUAAGAUGAAGUAUAGGUGCUGACACCUGCCCGGUGCUGGAAGGUUAAGAGGAGAGCUUAGCGCAAGCGAAGGUUUGAAUUGAAGCCCCAGUAAACGGCGGCCGUAACUAUAACGGUCCUAAGGUAGCGAAAUUCCUUGUCGGGUAAGUUCCGACCUGCACGAAAGGUGUAAUGAUUUGGGCACUGUCUCAACGAGAGACUCGGUGAAAUUAUAAUACCCGUGAAGAUGCGGGUUACCCGCGACAGGACGGAAAGACCCCAUGGAGCUUUACUGCAGUUUAAUAUUGGGUAUCUGUCAAGCAUGUACAGGAUAGGUAGGAGCCGGAGAAGAUAGGACGCCAGUCUUAUCUGAGGCGCUGUUGGGAUACUACCCUUGCUUGACGGAUGCUCUAACUUAGGCCUGUGAUCCAGGCCGAGGACAGUGUUUGACGGGCAGUUUGACUGGGGCGGUCGCCUCCUAAAGUGUAACGGAGGCGCCCAAAGGUUCCCUCAGAAUGGUUGGAAAUCAUUCGCAGAGUGUAAAGGUAAAAGGGAGCUUGACUGCGAGAGAGACAACUCGAGCAGGUACGAAAGUAGGGCUUAGUGAUCUGGUGGUACCGCAUGGAAGGGCCAUCACUCAACGGAUAAAAGCUACCCUGGGGAUAACAGGCUUAUCUCCCCCAAGAGUUCACAUCGACGGGGAGGUUUGGCACCUCGAUGUCGGCUCGUCGCAUCCUGGGGCUGAAGUCGGUCCCAAGGGUUGGGCUGUUCGCCCAUUAAAGCGGCACGCGAGCUGGGUUCAGAACGUCGUGAGACAGUUCGGUCCCUAUCCGUCGUGGGCGCAGGAAAUUUGAGAGGAGCUGUCCUUAGUACGAGAGGACCGGGAUGGACGCACCGCUGGUGUACCAGUUGUCUUGCCAAAGGCAUCGCUGGGUAGCUAUGUGCGGACGGGAUAAGCGCUGAAAGCAUCUAAGUGCGAAGCCCCCCUCAAGAUGAGAUUUCCCAUUUCUUCAAGAAAGUAAGACACCUCAGAGACGAUGAGGUAGAUAGGCCGGGAGUGGAAGAGCCGUGAGGCUUGGAGCGGACCGGUACUAAUCAGUCGAGGACUUGACCAAAA